UGGUGGAGUGAUUUGUCUGGUUAAUUCCUUUAACGAACGAGACCUCAGCCUAUUAAUUAGUUCACGCAAUGUUUCAUUGCUUGAAUUUCUUAGAGGGACUAUCGGUUUUUAGCCGAAGGAAGUAUGAGGCAAUAACA
rnacentral:rRNA from 1 species